rnacentral:rRNA from 1 species
UACGUAGGUGGCAAGCGUUGUCCGGAAUUAUUGGGCGUAAAGCGCGCGCAGGCGGUUUCUUAAGUCUGAUGUGAAAGCCCCCGGCUCAACCGGGGAGGGUCAUUGGAAACUGGGAAACUUGAGUGCAGAAGAGGAAAGUGGAAUUCCAAGUGUAGCGGUGAAAUGCGUAGAGAUUUGGAGGAACACCAGUGGCGAAGGCGACUUCUGGUCUGUAACUGACGCUGAGGCGCGAAAGCGUGGGGAGCAAACAGG